rnacentral:rRNA from 1 species
GGCGUUCGGGUGAGUAACACGUGACUAACCUACCCUCGAGUGGGGAAUAACCCCGGGAAACCGGGGCUAAUACCGCAUAACAUCCCUCGCGGGAUCAAAGGAGCAAUUCGCUGAAGGAGGGGGUCGCGGCUGAUUAGCUAGUUGGUGAGGUAACGGCUCACCAAGGCGAUGAUCAGUAGCCGGCCUGAGAGGGCGCACGGCCACACUGGAACUGAAACACGGUCCAGACUCCUACGGGAGGCAGCAGUGGGGAAUUUUGCGCAAUGGGGGAAACCCUGACGCAGCAACGCCGCGUGGAGGAUGAAGUCCCUUGGGAUGUAAACUCCUUUCGAUCGGGACGAUGAUGACGGUACCGGAAGAAGAAGCACCGGCUAACUCUGUGCCAGCAGCCGCGG